ACUUGUUCUUUAAAUGAGGACUAGUAUGAAUGGCACCACGAAGGUUAUACUGUCUCCUUUUUCUAAUCAGUGAAACUAAUCUUCCCGUGAAGAAGCGGGAAUCUACACAUAAGACGAGAAGACCCUAUGGAGCUUUAAACGAAAUAACAACUACCAUAAUAAACACCAAUUUCAGAAGUUUAACUCUUAUCCGGGUAUUUUGUUUAUAAGUUUUAGGUUGGGGUGACCGCUGAGCAAAAAACAACCUCCGCACUGAACAGGGCCGACCCUAAACAAAAAGCUAUAACUUUAUGUAUCAGCACACUGACACCAAUUGACCCAAUAAUUUGAUCAACGAACCAAGUUACCCUAGGGAUAACAGCGCAAUCCAUUUCAAGAGCCCCUAUCGACAAAUGG
rnacentral:rRNA from 1 species